UACGUAGGGCGCAAGCGUUAUCCGGAAUUAUUGGGCGUAAAGAGCUCGUAGGCGGUUUGUCGCGUCUGCUGUGAAAGACCGGGGCUCAACUCCGGUUCUGCAGUGGGUACGGGCAGACUAGAGUGCAGUAGGGGAGACUGGAAUUCCUGGUGUAGCGGUGAAAUGCGCAGAUAUCAGGAGGAACACCGAUGGCGAAGGCAGGUCUCUGGGCUGUAACUGACGCUGAGGAGCGAAAAGCAUGGGGGAGCGAACAGG
rnacentral:rRNA from 1 species